AAUCGAACCCGGAGAUAGCUGGUUCUCCUCGAAAUAGCUUUAGGGCUAGCCUCAUGGAUCAUUGAUGGGGGUAGAGCACUGAAUGUGCGCGGGGGCCACAAAGCCUACCAAACGCUAUCAAACUACGAAUACCAUACAAUGCAGACCAUGGGAGUCAGUCCGCGAGAGAUAAGUUCCGCGGGCAAAAGGGGAACACCCCAGAUCAACCGCUAAGGUCCCCAAGUUCACGUUAAGUGGAGAAGGAUGUGGAAUUGCACAGACAACCAGGAUGUUGGCUCAGAAGCAGCCACACAUUUAAAGAGUGCGUAAUAGCUCACUGGUCGAGUGAUUGUGCGCCGAAGAUGUCCGGGGCUAAACGUGACACCGAAGCGAUGGGUGCAUCUGAAAGGAUGCGCGGUAGAGGAGCAAUGUGCAGAGGCAGAAGCCGUAUCGAGAGGCACGGUGGACACUGCACAAGAGAGAAUGCCGGUAUGAGUAGCGAGAGGCAUGCGAGAAACAUGCCCGUCGAAAGCCCAAGGUUUCCUGGGGAAGGUUCAUCCGCCCAGGGUAAGUCGGGGCCUAAGCCGAGGACGGAAGUCGUAGGCGAUGGACAGCAGGUGUAGAUUCCUGCACUACCGAUGGAAUGAAGCAGUGACACAGAAGGAUAACUCGAGCAGGGUGAUGGUCAACCCUGUGCAAGCAUCAAGGUUGGGUUGUAGUGAAGUACGCAAUCCUACAAGCUGAGGUGUGAUGCGGACCGAAAUUUCAGUAGGGAAGCGAGUGAGUUCACGCUGGCGAGAAAAGCUGCUAGUACAUCCAAAGGUACCCGUACCGGAAACCGACGCAGGUGGGCGAGGAGAGAAUCCUGAGACGAACGGGAGAACCCUUGUUAAGGAACUCGGCAAAAUGACCCCGUAACUUCGGGAUAAGGGGUGCCUGCGAGAGCAGGCCGCAGAGAAUAGUCACAAGCGACUGUUUAGCAAAAACACAGGUAUCUGCGAAAGCGAGAGCUGACGUAUAGGUGCUGACACCUGCCCGGUGCUGGAAGGUUAAGGGAACAUGUUAGAGCAAUCGAAGCAUCGAACCGAAGCCCCAGUAAACGGCGGCCGUAACUAUAACGGUCCUAAGGUAGCGAAAUUCCUUGUCGGGUAAGUUCCGACCCGCACGAAUGGUGUAACGACUUGUGAGCUGUCUCAACAGGGGGCCCGGUGAAAUUGAAGUAUGGGUGAAGAUGCCCAUUACCCGCGACUGGACGGAGAGACCCCGUAGAGCUUUACUGCAGCCUGAUAUUGAGUUUCGGUAACUGAUGCACAGGAUAGGUGGGAGUCUGAGAGACAUGGGUUUCGGCUCAUGUGGAGACGAUGUUGGGAUACCACUCUUCGGUUACUGAAAUUCUAACAUAGCUCUGUGAAACCAGAGGAUGGACAGUGUCAGGUGGACAGUUUGACUGGGGCGGUCGCCUCCGAAAGAGUAACGGAGGCGCCCAAAGGUACCCUCAGAAUGGAUGGAAACCAUUCGAAGAGCGCAAAGGCAGAAGGGUGCCUGACUGCGAGAUUGACAAAUCGAGCAGAGACGAAAGUCGGGCUUAGUGAUCCGGCGGUAUUGAGUGGAAAAGCCGUCGCUUAACGGAUAAAAGCUACCUCGGGGAUAACAGGCUGAUCUCCCCCAAGAGUCCACAUCGACGGGGAGGUUUGGCACCUCGAUGUCGGCUCAUCGCAUCCUGGGGCUGUAUUCGGUCCCAAGGGUUUGGCUGUUCGCCAAUUAAAGCGGCACGCGAGCUGGGUUCAGAACGUCGUGAGACAGUUCGGUCCCUAUCCAUCGUGGGCGUAGGAGUCAUGAGAGGAGCUGUUCCUAGUACGAGAGGACCGGAAUGGACGCACCACUGGUGCAACUGUUGUCGUGCCAACGGCAUAGCAGGGAAGCGAAGUGCGGAUGGGAUAAACGCUGAAGGCAUCUAAGCGUGAAGCCCACCUUAAGAAUAAGACUCCAAGCAGCAAUGCGAGAGACCCCUGGAAGACUACCAGGUGAUAGGUCAUCGGUGGAAGUGCAGUAAUGCAUGCAGCUUGAUGAUACUAAUCGGUCGAUAGCUUGAUUU
rnacentral:rRNA from 1 species